UUGUUUUUUUUUCCCCAUAAA
rnacentral:piRNA from 1 species